rnacentral:rRNA from 1 species
CUACGGGGUGCAGCAGUGGGGAAUAUUGGACAAUGGGGGCAACCCUGAUCCAGCCAUGCCGCGUGAGUGAUGAAGGCCCUAGGGUUGUAAAGCUCUUUUGUGCGGGAAGAUAAUGACGGUACCGCAAGAAUAAGCCCCGGCUAACUUCGUGCCAGCAGCCGCGGUAAUACGAAGGGGGCUAGCGUUGCUCGGAAUCACUGGGCGUAAAGGGUGCGUAGGCGGGUUUUUAAGUCAGGGGUGAAAUCCUGGAGCUCAACUCCAGAACUGCCUUUGAUACUGAAGAUCUUGAGUCCGGGAGAGGUGAGUGGAACUGCGAGUGUAGAGGUGAAAUUCGUAGAUAUUCGCAAGAACACCAGUGGCGAAGGCGGCUCACUGGCCCGGUACUGACGCUGAGGCACGAAAGCGUGGGGAGCAAACAGGAUUAGAUACCCCAGUAGUC